rnacentral:rRNA from 1 species
UACCAGCACCCCGAGUGGUCGGGACGUUUAUUGGGCCUAAAGCAUCCGUAGCCGGUUCUACAAGUCUUCCGUUAAAUCCACCUGCUUAACAGAUGGGCUGCGGAAGAUACUAUAGAGCUAGGAGGCGGGAGAGGCAAGCGGUACUGGAUGGGUAGGGGUAAAAUCCGUUGAUCCAUUGAAGACCACCAGUGGCGAAGGCGGCUUGCCAGAACGCGCUCGACGGUGAGGGAUGAAAGCUGGGGGAGCAAACCGG